CUCCGCCGAAGGCGCGGGCUGUGCAAGUGUUUACUGAGGACCUACUGUGUGCCCAACCCUGUGGAUACAGAGAUGAACAAAGCCCAGUUCCUGCUCCCAAAGGGCUUCCUGACUAGUGGUGUGACCACCCAUUUAUGAAGAGAGGAAAACUGAGAGCCAAGGGAAGGAAUGGACUUGCCCAGGAUCACACAGCUCAAGGAGAAGAGGGGGACAGCUGCUGCUGUCCAGCUGUUCUGUCAGACCACACAGCCCAGCCCAGAUGUGUCAGCCUCUCUGUGAUGGGUGAAAUGGCUCCUGGGCCAAGAGCCAAGGGCCAAGGAAGCCGCAGUGAGGGUUCUGUCCUGGGAGUUGGGAGAAGAGGCACCUUCAACCCGGCAGCAGGGAAGCCCAAUAUUCCUCCAGCUGUCAAGCUGGCCUCGCUCAUGAUGUGGCCCAGAUGAGCAGCUGGGGAUGCAAGGCUGAAUGGAGCAGCAGGAAGAGGCUGUAGGCGGCAGAGUUCAUUCAGAAGAAAGUCCAACUCAGAGCUGCUGAAGGCUGAGGGAACCUCACAGGGGGGCUCUACCAAUAAAG